GCCCGGGUGCUGGAACGGUAGACAGAAGGGCCUUAAAAGCCCUGGCCCUUCGGGGCGUGUGGGUUCGAGUCCCACCCCGGGUA
rnacentral:tRNA from 1 species